UACCAGCACCCCGAGUGGUCGGGACGUUUAUUGGGCCUAAAGCAUCCGUAGCCGGUUCUACAAGUCUUCCGUUAAAUCCAACUGCUUAACAGGUGGGCUGCGGAAGAUACUAUAGAGCUAGGAGGCGGGAGAGGCAAGCGGUACUCGAGGGGUAGGGGUAAAAUCCUGUAAUCUUUCGGGGAGGACCAGUGGCGAAGGCGUCACGCUAGAACGGCUCCGACAGUGAGGGACGAAGCCCUGGGGCGCAAACCGG
rnacentral:rRNA from 1 species